rnacentral:rRNA from 1 species
UACGUAGGGUGCGAGCGUUGUCCGGAAUUAUUGGGCGUAAAGAGCUCGUAGGCGGUGUGUCACGUCGGUCGUGAAAACCUGCAGCUUAACUGUGGGCGUGCGGUCGAUACGGGCAUCACUGGAGUUCGGCAGGGGAGACUGGAAUUCCUGGUGUAGCGGUGAAAUGCGCAGAUAUCAGGAGGAACACCGGUGGCGAAGGCGGGUCUCUGGGCCGAUACUGACGCUGAGGAGCGAAAGCGUGGGGAGCGAACAGG